rnacentral:rRNA from 1 species
GAUGAACGCUGGCGGCGUGCCUAAUACAUGCAAGUCGAGCGGUAAGGCCCUUCGGGGUACACGAGCGGCGGACGGCUGAGUAACACGUAGGAACGUACCCCAAACUGAGGGAUAAGCACCAGAAAUGGUGUCUAAUACCGCAUGUGAUCUUCGGAUUAAAGCUUCGGCGGUUUGGGAACGGCCUGCGCAUGAUUAGCUUGUUGGUGAGGUAAUUGCUCACCAAGGCGACGAUCAUUAGCUGGUCUGAGAGGAUGACCAGCCAGACUGGAACUGAGAACGGUCCAGACUCCUACGGGAGGCAGCAGUAGGGAAUUUUCCACAAUGGGCGAAAGCCUGAUGGAGCAACGCCGCGUGCAGGAUGAAUGUCUUCGGAUUGUAAACUGCUUUUAUAUGUGACGAUAAUGACGGUAGCAUAUGAAUAAGGAUCGGCUAACUCCGUGCCAGCAGCCGCGGUAAGGUAGAUGAGU